AGCUUUCCGCGCAAGCGCUCUUUCCCCGCUUCCGGCUGGUCUGGGAGCGGGAGGCGGGGCAUCCGGGUCCUUUGGAAGCGGCUUCUGGCUCUGGACCUCAGCUGACCUGCCCCUGCUAGACUAGGAGGUGUGAAUUUAAAGCUUCAGUAAUGGAGUUAGCCCACAGUUUAUUGCUGAAUGAAGAAGCUUUGGCUCAAAUCACUGAAGCAAAGAGACCAGUUUUUAUUUUUGAAUGGUUGAGGUUUCUUGAUAAAGUUUUGGUUGCUGCCAACAAGACUGAUGUAAAGGAAAAACAGAAAAAACUUGUUGAACAAUUAACUGGAUUAAUAAGUAGUUCACCUGGACCACCUACGCGAAAACUGUUGGCUAAAAAUCUUGCAGCCCUUUAUAGCAUUGGGGAUACUUUCACUGUUUUUCAAACACUCGACAAAUGUAAUGACAUUAUCAGAAAUAAAGAUGACACUGCAGCCUACUUACCAACGAAACUGGCUGCGGUGGCUUGUGUUGGAGCAUUUUAUGAAAAAAUGGGGAGAAUGUUGGGCAGUGCGUUUCCAGAAACAGUAAAUAAUCUUUUGAAAUCUCUAAAAAGUGCAGAGUCUCAAGGGCGAAGUGAAAUCUUAAUGAGUCUACAGAAAGUUCUGAAUGGACUGGGUGGUGCAGCAGCUUCCUGUCAUCGUGAUAUUUACAAGAAUGCCAGGUCCCUCUUAACUGACAGGUCAAUGGCUGUUCGAUGUGCGGUUGCCAAGUGUCUCCUAGAACUACAGAAUGAAGCUGUAUUCAUGUGGACUGCUGAACUGGAAAAUAUAGCCACUCUCUGCUUUAAGGCUUUGGAAAAUUCAAACUAUGGGGUACGAGUGGCAGUGUCUAAACUCUUAGGAACAGUCAUGGCUACAGCCUUGAUGCCAAAACAAGCAACAGUAAUGCGCCAGAAUGUGAAGCGAGCAACAUUUGAUGAAGUCUUAGAACUCAUGGCCACAGGAUUUCUCCGCGGAGGGUCAGGUUUCUUAAAGAGUGGUGGAGAAAUGUUAAAAGUUGGAGGGUCUGUUAAUCGUGAAGUGAGAGUCGGAGUUACACAGGCAUAUGUUGUUUUUGUAACAACAUUGGGUGGUCAGUGGUUGGAGCGUAGCUUCGCUACAUUCUUGUCCCAUGUACUUGAUCUGGUUUCCCAUCCUCGAGCAACGCAAACACAUGUAGAGGCUGUGUACUCCAGACGCUGUGUCUCCUUUAUCCUGAGAGCUACUGUGGGCAGCUUGCUAGGUGAAAAAGCCCAGAUUGCAGCUGCCAAAGAGAUAUGUCAAGCGAUUGGAAAACAGAUGAAAGCAGUGGAAGCGGUGGUGAAUGACACUAGUGGUGAAAACAAAUCUGGAGCAGCAGACAUCGCAGCAAGCCAGCAUGUAAUGGUCUGUGCCCUGCAGGAGCUCGGGAGCCUGGUGCAGAGCCUAAAUGCCACUGCGUCCCCUCUUAUUCAGGAAGCAUCUAUAGGCCUUUUGGAGACUGUGACUUCAGUGCUUCUUCACCCAAGCAUGGCAGCUCGACUUGCUGCUGCGUGGUGUUUGCGCUGUGUGGCUGUGGCAUUGCCUUUCCAGUUAACACCAUUUCUAGACAAGUGUGCAGAACGGCUCAACAACUUGAAAACUUCACCAGAAGCUGUUAGUGGGUACAGUUUUGCAAUGGCUGCUUUGUUAGGUGGAGUUCAUCAGUGUCCUUUGGGCAUUCCUCAUGCCAAGGGAAAGAUGGUAGUUAGUAUUGCUGAAGAUCUCUUACGAACCGCUGCCCAAAAUAGCAGACUGUCUUUACAGCGCACUCAAGCUGGAUGGCUCUUACUUGGAGCACUUAUGACUUUAGGACCAUCUGUCGUUCGUUAUCAUCUGCCCAAGAUGUUGUUAUUGUGGCGAAAUGUUUUUCCUCGUUCUUUAAAGGAGUUGGAGGCUGAGAAAGCCCGAGGCGAUUCAUUUACCUGGCAGGUAACAUUGGAAGGUCGUGCUGGAGCUUUAUGUGCAAUGAGAAGUUUUGUUGCACAUUGUCCUGAACUCCUAACAGAAGAUGUGAUUAGAAAAUUGAUGACCCCUAUUGAAUGUGCCAUGACUAUGAUGUCACACAUUCCAUCUGUAAUUAAAACCCAUGGAGCUCAUCUGAAAGCUAGUGCUGCAAUGGUCCGAUUAAGACUUUAUGAUAUCUUAGCUUUGUUACCUCCAAAAACUUAUGAAGGAUCUUUCAAUGCACUUCUUAGAGAACUGGUAGCAGAAUUCACUUUGACUGACAACUCAGCCAAUACAACUACUUCGCUGCUCAGAUCCCUCUGCCACUAUGAUGAUAGCGUUCUUCUUGGUUCCUGGCUUCAAGAAACUGAUCAUAAGUCAAUUGAAGACCAGCUCCAGCCAAACAGUGCAUCUGGAAGUGGGGCUCUGGAGCAUGAUCCAUCUUCCAUUUAUUUACGAAUACCUGCUGGAGAAGCUGUGCCUGGGCCUCUUCCUCUUGGAGUUUCAGUCAUUGAUGCCUCUGUGGCUCUUUUUGGUGUAGUGUUUCCUCAUGUUUCUUAUAAACACCGAUUACAAAUGUUGGAUCACUUUGCAGAAUGUGUUAAACAAGCCAAGGGUGUUCGCCAGCAGGCUGUGCAGCUUAAUAUCUUUACAGCUGUUCUCAGUGCACUAAAGGGCUUGGCUGAAAACAAAAGUACCUUAGGACCUGAGGAAGUUCGUAAAUCUGCUCUGACACUGGUUAUGGGGGCUCUUGACAACCCAAACCCCAUCUUACGAUGUGCAGCAGGGGAGGCUCUUGGAAGAAUGGCUCAGGUGGUUGGAGAAGCAACUUUUAUUGCUAGAAUGGCCCAAUACAGCUUUGACAAAUUGAAAUCAGCUCGAGAUGUUGUAUCCAGAACUGGCCAUUCAUUGGCUCUGGGUUGUUUGCAUCGUUAUGUUGGUGGUAUUGGCUCAGGACAACAUCUGAAGACCAGUGUCAGCAUUUUAUUGGCUCUAGCACAGGAUGGAACAUCCUCUGAAGUACAGACUUGGUCUCUUCAUUCACUUGCUUUGAUAGUGGAUUCCAGUGGCCCAAUGUAUCGGAGCUAUGUGGAGCCAACAUUAUCUCUAGUUCUUACCUUGCUGUUGACAGUUCCACCUUCACAUACAGAAGUUCAUCAGUGUUUGGGUAGAUGCUUGGGUGCUAUAAUAACUACUGUUGGCCCUGAACUACAAGGAAAUGGAGCAACAAUUUCCACAAUCCGUUCUUCUUGUUUGGUGGGUUGUGCAAUAACCCAGGACCAUUCAGAUUCCCUCGUCCAGGCAGCUGCUAUAUCUUGCCUUCAGCAGCUUCACAUGUUUGCACCUCGACACGUCAAUCUAUCUAGCCUCGUUCCUAGCCUUUGUGUUCACUUAUGUAGCUCCCAUUUGUUACUUCGACGAGCCGCUGUGGCAUGUCUCCGGCAGCUUGCACAAAGAGAAGCAGCUGAAGUAUGUGAAUAUGCCAUGAGCCUAGCAAAAAAUGCAGGAGACAAAGAGAGCAGUGGUGCUAGUGUCAGUCCUUUUGCACCUGGCGUGAGUUCUCGAAGUGAUAUCCAUUGCCGGCACCAAGGUGUUAAUAUAACAGAAACUGGUCUUGAGGGACUUCUUUUUGGAAUGCUAGACCGGGAAACGGAUCGAAAAUUGUGUUCUGAUAUUCAUGAUACUUUGGGACAUAUGCUUUCAUCGCUGGCUGUAGAAAAACUUUCGCAUUGGCUAAUGCUUUGUAAAGAUGUCCUAGCAGCUUCUAGUGAUAUGAGUACCGCAACUCCCUUAAGUAGUGGAAAAGAUGAAGAAUUUGAAAAGAAAGAUGAGAUGGACGAUGAUACCAUGUUUACCACACUAGGAGAAGAAGAUAAAUCAAAGCCCUUUGUGGCACCUCGCUGGGCCACUCGAGUAUUUGCUGCUGAUUGCCUGUGUCGAAUCAUCAAUUUGUGUGAGAAUGCUGAUCAGGCCCACUUUGAUCUUGCCAUGGCACGUUCUGCUAAACUACGAAAUCCUACAAAUGACCUCUUGGUACUUCAUCUCUCUGACCUGAUUCGUAUGGCAUUCAUGGCGGCAACAGAUCACAGUAACCAGUUGCGGAUGGCCGGUCUCCAAGCACUUGAAGAUAUUAUCAAGAAGUUUGCGUCUGUGCCUGAGCCAGAAUUUCCAGGUCAUGUGAUUCUGGAGCAGUAUCAAGCUAAUGUGGGAGCUGCUCUAAGACCAGCCUUUUCCCAAGAUACCCCAUCAGACAUAAUAGCAAAAGCUUGCCAGGUAUGCAGUACAUGGAUUGGAAGUGGAGUUGUCAGUGAUCUCAAUGAUCUCCGUCGAGUACACAACCUGCUUGUUUCUUCUCUGGACAAAGUUCAGGCCGGAAAAGGGUCUUCUAGCCAGCUGUACCGAGAGAGUGCCACAACCAUGGAAAAACUGGCCGUUCUCAAAGCUUGGGCAGAGGUAUAUGUGGUUGCUAUGAAUAUUAAAAAGGAAGCUGACUCAAAGCCAAAAAGAGCAAAUAAAAACACUGAUGAUGAUGAUGAUGAUUAUAGUACCAUCGAUGAACUACCCCCGGAUAGUUUAAUAACACUCGUACAACCUGAACUGCCAACACUCAGUCGCCUGUGGUUGGCAGCAUUAAAAGACUAUGCACUUUUAACUUUACCAGCUGAAUUUGCUAGUCAGCUACCCCCAGAUGGUGGAGCAUUUUAUACUCCUGAAACUAUUGAUACAGCUAGACUUCACUAUCGGAAUUCCUGGGCCCCAAUUCUCCAUGCAGUGGCACUUUGGUUAAAUAGCACAGGAUUUACAUGUUCAGAAUCUGCAGAAGCAGCAGCAGUAUCAGGUUUACAAAAACGUUCUACACCCGUCAAUUUAAACCAAGCAUCAGAAUCAACUCCCAGUGCAAAAUCAUUGCCAGAAAUUAACAAAGACAGAAUGCAUCUGAUUUUAGGUGUGAGUAUACAAUUCCUUUGUUCCCCAAGACCUGAGGAGCCUGUUGAACAUGUUACGGCAUGUCUGCAGGCUUUGCACACCUUGCUAGAUUCUCCUUAUGCCCGAAUCCAUAUUGCAGAAGAUCAGCUGAUUGGUGUUGAGUUGCUGAGUGUUCUGCACCGUUUGCUCUUGACCUGGAAUCCACCAUCUGUCCAGCUGCUAGUGACUGGUGUUGUACAACAGAUAGUAAGAGCUGCUCAGGAUUAUUUGCAAGAAAAAAGAAACACACUAAAUGAAGAUGAUAUGGAAAAAGAGUCCGGUCCUGUUUUAGGAGAAGGAGGUGACAGUGGUGGUCUCAUUCCUGGAAAGUCUCUUGUGUUUGCAACCAUGGAGCUAUUGAUGUUCAUCCUAGUACGGCACAUGCCGCAUCUCAGUACCAAGAUGUCAGACUCUCCGAGUCACACAGCCGCUAAAACUCGACUGUCAGAAGAAAGUUCUCGUCUGGUGGCAGCCACAGUUAGCAUACUCUCUGACUUACCAUCCCUUUGUUCACCAGCUGGUACAGUAUUGACCACUGUUUGGAAAUUUAUUAUACUGUAUUAGUAAUGAGCUUGCCUUUGAAUCUGAAUACUUUUAUGACUUAGUUCCUCUUAAAUCUUAAGGGAAAAAUAGGUCUUCAUAAGGGUUUUUUGUUUUUUGUUUUUUUUUCUUACCUUUGGGAGCCUAUGAAGACUAAAAAUUUAAAAUACCAAAAGCCCAAAAUGCUCUUUUCAGAUAUAUUUCAAACAAACUUCAGCAAAGAGAUAGAACCAUAGCUUGAGGAAAGACGUUAAAUGUUAAUAGAUAGACAUAAAGUGGAAUUACUGAACCCUUUAUUUUCUGGUCUGGUUGAUGCUCUUGAGGAAUACUGACAAACUGACAAAUGUCAGAGGAUGGUGACAACCUACUUGAAGGAGCAACUAAAGAAAUUGUCGCUAAAAAAGAUAAUAGCUUUCUGCAGACACCUGAAGAACUAUUGGAUGGAAAAGUAGCCUUUCCCUCUGUUGUAUCUAGAAGGUGGAGAUAGUAUCAGGAGAUAUAAAGGAUGUAUGACAAUCCUGCCCACGAUUCUGUUUUUAAUUGCAAGAAUAUUGAAAGACACAGCAAUAAAGUCUGCAGAUAAUCAGGUUCCUCCACCAGUCAGUGCAGCUCUUCAAGGGAUCAAAAGUAUUGUGACACUUUCAAUGGCCAAAACCGAGGAAACUCAGAAACAGUGGACAGCUCUAAUUCGUAGUACUCUUGCAUGCAUCCUAGAAUAUUCUCAACCAGAAGAUUCUAUGCCUAUGCCUGAUGAAGUAAGCAUGCUAACAGCAAUUGCACUCUUCCUGUGGUCUGCUGGAAGUGAAAUAAUAGGAGUCCAGUCACUGCAGAAUGGCUGCAUGAAUAGAUUUAAAAAUGCAUUAAAUUCAUGUGAUCCAUGGGUUCAAGCCAAAUGUUACCAGCUUCUCCUCUCGGUCUUUCAACAUUCCAACCGUGCCCUUUCAACUCCCUAUAUCCAUACAUUAGCUCCAAUCGUGGUUGAAAAGCUAAAAGCUGUUGAAAGAAAUAGACCAGCCAAUAAUACAGAACUUUUAGCUGUUCAAGAAGGAAUCAAAGUUCUUGAAACUUUGGUUACUCUUGGGGAAGAACAGAACAGAGUCCAAUUACUUGCUCUUUUAGUUCCCACUUUGAUCUCAUACCUACUGGAUGAAAAGUCUUUUGCCUUAGCAAGCACAACUUCCAAAGAUCUUCAUGAGUUUGCACUCCAGAAUUUAAUGCAUAUUGGACCUCUGUAUCCACAUGCUUUCAAGACAGUAAUGGGAGCAGCUCCGGAGUUGAAAGUACAUUUGGAAACUGCUGUUCGAGCAAGCCAAGCUAGCAAAGCUAAAGCAGCUGCCAGGCAGCCAGCCCCGACUGUGCAUUCCGCACCAACAAUUAAGCUAAAAACAAGUUUUUUUUAACUUGCUGUCCCAUUCAUUUUGUUUAUAUUGUCAACUAGCAACUAAUUAGUGAUAGCCAUUGUAUCAUUCCAUGCUGUAAGUUUAAUUCUAUUUGUGUUUUUGGAAUUAGAUGCUUCCAAGGAGGUUAAGUGAAAUAAUGCUCACACUGGUUUCUGAUCUUGAAGGAAUGACUUUCUUUUUUAUCAUGUGAAUGUGCUUCAUUUUCUUCCCUAAUAAUGAUUCUCUUUCAUUAAUAUAUUUUUUUAAACACUGAGCCAUAGUCUUUUAAAUUAAAUGCAAAAAAGUUGUAUCAUGUAGUUGGGUGCCUGUUGAUACUGUCAGGGAAGAAAUAGGUCAGUAUUUAGCAUCUGUUAUGCAAAAAAUUGAUUGAAAAAAACCUAUAAUUUAAAUUUUGAAGUAACCAAAAUAAUGCAAAGUGUCUAUUUCAUGGUGUGUAUAUUAAGAAUAAAGUCACAUUUUCUUAGCACUUCUCGGAAUAUCCUUACCUUUCUGAUAAACCUUUUUAGUUUCAUGUUAGAUUACUAAAUUAUGCUUGUGUCUAUUUUAGUUAACUCUCAUGUAAAGAUCCAUUAAAGUGUUUCAAAUGUGG